GAUGAACGCUGGCGGCGUGCCUAAUACAUGCAAGUCGAGCGAACGGACGAGAAGCUUGCUUCUCUGAUGUUAGCGGCGGACGGGUGAGUAACACGUGGAUAACCUACCUAUAAGACUGGGAUAACUUCGGGAAACCGUAGCUAAUACCGGAUAAUAUUUUGAACCGCAUGGUUCAAAAGUGAAAGACGGUCUUGCUGUCACUUAUAGAUGGAUCCGCGCUGCAUUAGCUAGUUGGUAAGGUAACGGCUUACCAAGGCAACGAUGCAUAGCCGACCUGAGAGGGUGAUCCGCCCACACGGAACUGAGACACGGUCCAGACUCCUACGGGAGGCAGCAGUAGGGAAUCUUCCGCAAUGGGCGAAAGCCUGACGGAGCAACGCCGCGUGAGUGAUGAAGGUCUUCGGAUCGUAAAACUCUGUUAUUAGGGAAGAACAUAUGUGUAAGUAACUGUGCACAUCUUGACGGUACCUAAUCAGAAAGCCACGGCUAACUACGUG
rnacentral:rRNA from 1 species